UAAGCGGAGGAAAAGAAACCAACAGGGAUUGCCCCAGUAACGGCGAGUGAAGCGGCAACAGCUCAAAUUUGAAAUCUGGCUUCGGCCCGAGUUGUAAUUUGCAGAGGAAGCUUUAGGCGCGGCACCAUCUGAGUCCCCUGGAACGGGGCGCCACAGAGGGUGAGAGCCCCGUAUAGAUGGACGCCUAGCCUGUGUAAAGCUCCUUCGACGAGUCGAGUAGUUUGGGAAUGCUGCUCUAAAUGGGAGGUAAAUUUCUUCUAAAGCUAAAUACCGGCCAGAGACCGAUAGCGCACAAGUAGAGUGAUCGAAAGAUGAAAAGCACUUUGAAAAGAGGGUUAAAUAGCACGUGAAAUUGUUGAAAGGGAAGCGCUUGUGACCAGACUUGCGCCGGGCGGAUCAUCCGGUGUUCUCACCGGUGCACUCCGCCCGGCUCAGGCCAGCAUCGGUUCUCGUGGGGGGACAAAGGUCCCGGGAACGUAGCUCCUCCGGGAGUGUUAUAGCCCGGGGCGUAAUGCCCUCGCGGGGACCGAGGACCGCG
rnacentral:rRNA from 1 species